ACCAGACAGGGGGAAGAACAGGAACAAAAUUGUCCUCCUCCUGGUGCGGCUCUGGGGCAUAUGGUGGGUGAUUUUUACAAGAGCUCUCCAUACAAAGAGCUUCAGAAGCUACCCGUUGGCUGACAAAACAGGAGUAAUUGAAGGAUCGUGUUAUAAUUAAGUGAUCCUUCCGGUGGCCACCUUUCCUAGUCCCCUAGUUGAUAUUGAGGCCAGUCUACUGUACAGAACUUUUUCAGUUUAUUCUUCUUCAUCGGAUCCGAGCCAAACACCUUCCAAUUCGUUAGAAUGCAUUCUAAGGGUGUACGCUAUACCUGCCGCCCCAUACCAUGCCCUUGACCCAUUAUAUGCUAAUACACCAGUAGCUAAUGGGAAUUACAACGACUGGGCGUCCCUAGCCUCGGGCAAAAGUCCAGACUACUGGACUGUUCCUACCUUAUCCAAGGGACUGGUUCCUCACCGUCGCCCACAACUGCUUCUCCACUACUCGAGCGCGUUGCACCGUUGUGCCCUCCGGGGUCGGUCGAACUGCGUUUCUGCUGAGGCCCCCGGUGAAGUCACCGGUGCACGCUGGGCGUCAGUCGGCGCAAUUCGUCGACCACCAGGAGGGAUCCAGGCAAGGCUAAUUUUCAGCCUCGAGCCCCAUGUUGGGCGCCAAGAACUGUUGCCGGCACAGAGUGCCCAAGGGGGGCAACAGCGGGGUUCAUUGCCCGAUGUGCUCCGCGCCAUAAACACACCAGGUUGGAGAAGCAAACAAAGUUUAUUUGAGAUCUCAAAGCGGUGCAAGGAGAAUGGUAUGUCUCAGAUCAAGCACACCUACACAAGCAGCUUUUCCCUUUUGAAAAGUUAUUUUUUCCCUUCUUCCCCCCCUGCUUCCUCCCCCUAUAGCAGUUACGUAAGCAGUCUUGGCGGCAGUAGCUCAUUUGUAAGUUUUCCUUCUGCAAGUUAUCUUGUCCUUCAGCUAGAGGCACGGAGGCCUUAUCACUACUGCUUUAGACUGGUUUGGGCUGUGCUGCAACUGUUACAUAUUUGAUUUUGCAGCUGCUGGCUUUCUAGGUCGAGUAAAGUUCAACACGGAGGACCUUUGGUUCGCUUUGGCUUAGAACAGAAGGGCUUCAUCGACACUCGUGGCCUUCCACCCACCUGAGUUACCUAGGGUUAUGUCUAGUGACACCAACAGAGUCAGAAUAGAAAAAAAUCCCCU
rnacentral:lncRNA from 1 species